UGAAUCCAGGGCAUACAGGCAGUGCCUCUCAGUCAGAGAAGCCAUUUAAAUCCAGAGGGACAGAGAAAGAUGUCAAACCGGGCCAGGAAACAAGCCCGUCCAUUAUAGUCAGGCCUACACACCCACAGGUUGGCCCUUUCUGCCACAAUCGCCCCUGUAUGUGUGUUCUGGGGGGAAACUGGGCCCUGUUUGGUGGGCAGACAAAUCCCCUGGGCUUCGUAAGGCUUCUUGCUUCAAUUUAUUUCCACAGAGAACUGCUUCUUUUCGUCCCCUAAGGCAGAUGGAAGGGCAAUUUCACACACACAGCCUCACAUUGGCAGUCCCCCUACUCCCCCCAUCUCUGGCUCUGCUCCCCAGUAAAAUAUUAACUAGUUCCUCAGACCUGCUUAGAAUUCUCCCCGAUGGUGCUGGGUGGGAGACCAGUGCCUGAUUCUUUCCUAAAAACUGUCAUUUGUAGAAAAGGCACAGAGGAGAAUCAAAAACUGUCCAAGGCUCUCUCCUAUUCUUAGCUAUUUUUUUAAAAACAACAACAUCCUUAAUUAACAAGAUUCUUAAAAAAAAAAAAAAGACGCUAAAUAAACACCUUUCUUCAGGGGCCGGCAGUUGAUGCAGCCAGACACCAGGAGGUGGACCCAGAAAGCAAUAAAGUCCCCCUCAGCUACUGAAACUAGGACUCAUUCCUGCCUCCCCAGGCGUUUCCUCAAAGGAAUUGAAGGGCUGAGCUGAUGGCUUGCUCUCCCUGCCCCCCAAGGACAACAGAUGCCCAGCAGGCCAGUGUGCACUCUCCCUGGCUGGGGAAUCUGCUCUCAGGCUCCAGACCCAGCCAGGAAUCUAAACACACAGUACUGCAGGACAAAACCCUGGCUUUGGAAAGGAGACAGGAUUUUGUUUGAACCAGCUGAGGUCGAUAGCAGCAGGGGACAACUCCAGAGCCACUAGGCCUGACAAAGGCACUCAGGACAACAGGCCUGGCUUCACCCAAAGGGAAGGGUCGGCUCUUACUGGGGAGGGAAACCUUACUGGGACCAAACAGGGAACCUGAGGCCUGAUCCGGGCACCCUCCCCUUCAUGUGGCUUCGGACUCUACUAUCAGCCAUAUGAAGUAUGGCUUGGGGGGUGAGGGGAGGCGACAACACACGGAGUUGCUGAUAGGUCUUGGGGACACCUAACUUCCCAAUUGGAAAAGAGAAUACAUACACAGCAGGGGAGCGCAUGGAUUAAAGCUUGUUGUGUAAGCGGGAGCGCGCGCGCGCGCGCGCGCACACACACACACACACACACACACACACACACACACACACACACACGUACUCCCGUGCUCUCCCUCUCCCUUUUCCCUCCCUCCCUCCCUCUCUCCCAGGCUCUGAUCACUUGAACUGUUUUCUAGGGCAAAGAGCAGGAAGCUGCCGGCAUAUGCUGGUGACCUAUUGGGGCAGCUUUGUUUGAGGAAUGCUGCUGCCAUUCAGGCUUGUCUGAGGUUAUCUGGGAAAUGUAACUGGGCUGGAGACAAGAGACAAAGGCAUGGUGGUGCAGGCCUGCAAUCCCAGCUACUGGGUGGACGAUGGAGUGAGGGACUGUCUUAGGAGGCUGGAAAGUCCAAGGCUGGCUUUAAGCUUCUUGGAGGGCGAGAUCAAGGCCAGCCUGGCCGAUGCAGCGAGACCGUGUCUCAGAAUAAAGCCAUAAGCAGCAGCUUAUGCACGGAGCUCAGUUCUGUGGCUCUCACAAGAUGCUGAGAACACACCACACACAACCCAGGACAUCAGCAAUCCUUGCCCUGGUUCUGUCCCUCCUCAACACCCAUCCAGGACUGCCACCUCUCUAAGAGCACAAGCUCACGUCUUAUGGCUGACCACCCGUCCCCACCAGCUCCGUGCCCGCCCCUAGCUCGGUGCCUCGUUUCGCUCUGCAUGCCCAUCUGUUCUGUCCACCUGCUAGCACAUCCGGCCCCUCGUCUGGCCUUUGCACUUGGCCUCCAGCUCUGCUUUCCACCUCCCCACCCCAAUCCUCCACCCCACACCCCCAGCCCAUCUCUCUGCUUCCCCAACCCUAAGACGAGGUCAUCUCCUCCUCUGGCUCUCAACAUGUCUAGCUGUUCUGUCCAGCUUCAGAAAGGACUCCUCCAAACCCUGGUGUGGUGGUAAUUCCGUCCUUUGGGAGGCUGAACUCAAGGCCAGCCUGGGCUACAUAGCAAGUUCCUGUCUCCCAAACCCAAAGGCUGAAGAUGCAGCUCUGUGGUUGGAAGGUCAUGGGCUCCAUCCUCAGCACAUCAAGAAUAAAAAGAAUGGAUUCCCUGCAGACCGACCGAGGUCUGCCUCUGCGCCCCAGUGCAGCCAGGGCCCCCAUUUCUCUUGUGUUGUUCACCUUUUCCUCUCUUCCCCACAUCAAGAGGCGCAGUGGUUGGGCGUGCGGCUGCCAGCAUCAGACUGACUGACGGCUGUGAAUCGCAGGCGCUCCACUCACCACCAGCUGCAAGGUCUAGGCAAGGUCUCCAAUCCUGCCGGCCCACACUUCCUCACCUACACACCCACCUAAACCAACAAAGCCAGCCCAUGGCCAGUUUCCUAGCCUGUUGGGCUCAAUCUCUUUUCUUUUCCCCUUUUUCUUUCUUUUCUGACAGGGUUUCUCUCUGUGUAGCCCUGGCUGUCCUGGACCUCACUCUGUAGACCAGGCUGGCCUUGAACUCAAGAGGUCCACCUAUGAGAUUAAUGGUGUGCCCCGCCCCCAAUCAGUCUCAAAGCUUCCCUCCAGGCCUGCAAGAGGGCUCAGUAGGUAAAGGUUCUUGCAGUAAACCUAACAACCUUCCCAUUCCCUGGAUCACUUGAUGGAAGGAGAAUACAAAGUAUAAAAGCUGACCUCUGGGGCUGGUGAGAUGGCUUAGCCUUUAAGAGCACUGACUGCUCUUCCAAAGCUCCUGAGUUCAAAUCCCAGCAACCACAUGGUAGCUCACAACCACCCUUAACAAGAUCUGAUGCCCUCUUCUGGUGUGUCUGAGGACAGCUACAGUGUACUUAUGAAUAAUAAUAAAUAAAUCUUUUUUUAAAAAAAGGCUGACCUCUGCACACACGUGUGCACGUGCAUAAACACACACACUUAAAAAAAUAAUAAAAUCAGGGCUGAAGAGAAGGCUCAGCAGUUAAGAGCACUGGUUGCUUUUCCAAAGGACCCAGGUUCAAUUCCCAGCACCCACACAGAAGCUCAAAACCAUCUGUAACUCCAAUACCAGGGCAUCCGACAUCCUCACAUAGCAUUCAGUCAGGUAAAAUGCAAAUGCACAUAAAAUAAAUAAAAUUUGAAAAAGAAUAAAACCCACAUACAAAAACAAAAAACAAACAAACAAAAAAAAAAACAAAACACUUUUAUUAUGCCCCAAGAGAUGUGCAGCACUUAAAGGUGUUCUCCUGCCAAGGCAGGAGUCCUGAAUUUGAUUCCCAGGACGCAUCCGGUGUAAGGAGAAAAGCUCACUAGCUCCUUUAGGCUGUGUCUGACCUCUAGAUGUAAGCCUUGGCACAUACAGCCCCACAUACAUUCACACAAAAAUAAGUAAUAAAAAUACAGCUAUUAUAAUAAAAUACAGUUCUAAUUUACUGAAAGCUGACGAGGUGGGUCAGUGGGUAAAGUCACCUGCUAUCAAGCCUGCCUCGCUGAGUUCAAUCCUCAGGACCUACGUGGUGGAAAGCAGGAAUGGAUUCCUGUAAGCUGUCCUGUUCUCUCCGAUGCACACACAAAGGCUCUCACACACACAAUGUAAAGAAAGAUGCAGCCGGGCAGUGGUGGCGCACGCCUUUAAUCCCAGCACUUGAGAGGCAGAGGCAGGCGGAUCUCUGAAUUCAAGGCCAGCAUGAUCUACAGAGUGAGUUCCAGGACAGCCAGGGCUACACAGAGAAACCCUGUCUCAGAAAACCAAAAAAAGAAAAAGAAAAGGAAAGGAAAGGAAAGGAAAGGAAAGGAAAGGAAAGGAAAGGAAAGGAAAGAAAAGAAAGAUGCAGUUUGAAAUUUGCUAUGGGGGGCUGGAGAGAUGGCUCAGCAGUUAAGAGCGCCGACUGCUCUUCUGAAGGUCAUGAGUUCAAAUCCCAGCAACCACAUGAUGGUUCACAACCAUCCAUAAUGAGAUCUGAUGCCCUCUUCUGGGGUGUCUGAAGACAGCUACAGUGUAUUUACAUAUAAUAAAUAAACAAAUCUUUAAAAAAAAAAAAAAAGAAAGAAAUUUGCUAUGGGAGGAGGGAAAGAAUCAAAAGGGCCAGUUUUAGAGGUUGAGACAGUAGGCUCACAAGUUCAAGACUAGCCAGAACUUAAUGAAUAAAUGAUUCAAUUUAUGUAACAUUGGAGCAGUUUAUGAAAUCGGCAGAAGGGACAACCGUUCAAUGUUUACACACACCAGAGUCUCCCUACUACUAGGGAUAAACCUGGCCCUUUCUGAGCCAGAACUCUACCGUGUGUGUGUGUGUGUGUGUGUGUGUGUGUGUGUGUGUGUGUGUGUGUGAGAGAGAGAGAGAGAGAGAGAGAGAGAGAGAGCACCCAGUGUAGCCCACCAUGUGUUUUCUGAUUCCUAAGAGGGGCUCACUUUGUAACCCAAGACAUUCAUGAAUCCUCCAGGCUCUUGCUUUCACCUCACACCUGCAGGCUGAAGCAGCCACAGGGGCGGCGGCAGCCUUCAGUUGUUUUUGAGGAAGUUGUGGGAAACAGAAUAAUGAGAAAGAGCCUCGACCAACAGAGACACAGACUUCAGCCCCUCAGGAUAUUGAAGAUGAGAGUUCUGCAUCUACUUAUCAAUUCAGCAUCCCACGAGAGCCAAGCUUUGGACCAGAAGUACAACCUCCCAGACUUCCUCAACAUUAUUUUGGAUUUGACACACGGUCUCUCUCCAUGGCCCUGGUUGUCCUGGAACUUCCUACGCAAACUCAGCUGGCCUUGAACCCGCAGAGCUCGAGCUCUGUGUGCCUCUGCCUCCUGAGUGCAGAGUGCUGGGACUGAAGGCGAGUCACCAAGCCCGGCUCUCAUUCAUAUUCUUGAACUUCAACAUCCAAAGUCGCACUGACCCCAGGAAUCAACCUCACCAGAUCUCUACAGGUCCCAGAUACUGGACCCUGGGAGCUUCCCUCCAGAAGGCCAGCCCUGAAGCUCUACAGCCUUACCCCAACCUCUAUCUACCCAUGAGCUAUCCCCCUCUUCCUGCUAUCUCUCUGGACUCAUGUAGGCAGGCCACGGAGUCAGCCUUGCUAGGGAAGGAGUAGGCCCAGGUCCCCUCCUUACUGCCUAUGAGAGCCAAUGGGAAGGCUAGCCUGGGCUCCACAGUGAGAUAAGGGUUACAGAUCCUGCCCAGUUACUGGCAUGUGAGUCUCCUUAGACUUGAGACUUGUUUUUCUCUCUCCUUAAAAACCUGGGCCAGGG